UCGGUCCCUAUCUGCCGUGGGCGCUGGAGAAUUGAGGGGGGCUGCUCCUAGUACGAGAGGACCGGAGUGGACGCAUCACUGGUGUUCGGGUUGUCAUGCCAAUGGCACUGCCCGGUAGCUAAAUGCGGAAGAGAUAAGUGCUGAAAGCAUCUAAGCACGAAACUUGCCCCGAGAUGAGUUCUCCCUGAGACUAUAAGUCUCCUGAAGGAACGUUAAAGACGAUGACGUUGAUAGGCCGGGUGUGUAAGCGCAGCGAUGCGUUGAGCUAACCGGUACUAAUGAACCGUGAGGCUUAACCUU
rnacentral:rRNA from 5 species